rnacentral:rRNA from 1 species
CCUAGUUGAUUCUGCCAGUAGUUAUAUACUUGUCUCAAAGAUUAAGCCAUACAUAUCUAAGUAUAAGCACUUAUACUAUGAAACUGUGAAUAGCUCAUUAAAUCAGUUAUAGUUUAUUUAAUAGUAUCUUUACCUGGAUAACUGUGGUAAUUCUAGAGCUAAUACAUACUAAAAACCUUGACUUUGGAAGGGAUAUAUUUAUUAGAUAAAAAACCAAUGCCCUUUAGGGCUCCUUAGUGAUUCAUAAUAACUUAAUAAAUUAUAUAGCCUUGUGCUAGUAAUAGUUCAUUCAAAUUUCUGCCCUAUCAACUUUCAAUAGUAAGGUAGUGGCUUACCAUGGUCUCAAUAGGUAACAAGGAAUUAAGGUUCUAUUCUGGAGAGGGAGCCUAAGAAACAGCUACCACAUCUAAGGAAGGUAGUAGGCAUGUAAAUUACCUAAUACUGAUUCAGUGAGGUAGUGACAAUAAAUACUAAUACAGGGCUCUUUUGGGUCUUGUAAUUAGAAUGAGUACAAUCUAAAUCCUUUAAUAAGGAAUAAUUAGAGGGUAAGUCUGGUGCCAGCAGCUGUAGUAAUUCCAGCUCUAAUAGUGUAUAUUAAAGUUGUUGUCAUUAAAAAGCUUAUAGUUAAACCUUGGACCUGGCUGAUCUAUCCUCCUAAUUGAGUGUACAGAUUCAGUCAGGUCUUUUCUUCUGGGGAGCCUUAUGCCCUUUACUGGGUGUAAUGGGGAACCAGGACUUUUACCUUGAAAAAAUUAGAGUGUUCAAAGCAGGCCUUUGCUUAAAUACAUUAGCAUAGAAUAAUAGAAUAGGACAUCAGUUCUAUUUUGUUGGUUUCUAGGACCACUAUAAUGAUUAAUAGGGAUAGUUGGGGGUGUCUAUAUUCAAUUGUCAGAGGUGAAAUUCUUGGAUUUAUUGAAGACAAACUACUGCGAAAGCAUUUGCCAAGGAUGUUUUCAUUAAUCAGUGAACGAAAGUUAGGGGAUUGAAGACAAUCAGAUACUGUUGUAGUCUUAACCAUAAACUAUGUGUUACAGGACAUACCCAAGCCCCCCUGGGUUGGGGAUGGACCCUCUGGAGGAAGGGCGAUUAACGAGCUGGAUUGUUAGCAGCGAUAACGAUGCCAAUCGUUAAUCACCCUAGCGCAAGCUUGGCGCGUGGUCAGAGUUAAGGCAAACUCCGAUUCCCACGCCCGGCGUGGAAAUAAACGGAUGACUUAUCCGGAGCAUCCCACAGCAGUUCCCAAGGACACAGCCUCCUUGACAGGGAAGCACAGGCGCUAUGCAUGUCAAGCGC